AUUAUUACACGCAAAGGUAAUAAUCAAAUUAAUUUAAGGAAACUUUUUUUAAUUUGUAUCGGGAGGAAAUGCACGAUACA
rfam:Marine metagenome 1092343625599, whole genome shotgun sequence.